GAUGAACGCUAGCUACAGGCUUAACACAUGCAAGUCGAGGGAUAACGAGAGGAAAGCUUGCUUUCCUUGUCGACGACCGGCGCACGGGUGAGUAACGCGUAUCCAACCUGCCCCCAACUAGGGAAUAACCUUGCGAAAGUAAGACUAAUACCCUAUAAUUUCCUCAGAUGACAUCUGACGAGGAAUAAAGAUUUAUCGGUUGUGGAUGGGGAUGCGUCUGAUUAGCUUGUUGGCGGGGUAACGGCCCACCAAGGCAACGAUCAGUAGGGGUUCUGAGAGGAAGGGCCCCCACAUUGGAACUGGGAAACGGUCCAAACUCCUACGGGAGGCAGCAGCGGGGAAUAUUGGUCAAUGGGCGGAAGCCUGAACCAGCCAAGUAGCGUGCAGGAUGACGGCCCUAUGGGUUGUAAACUGCUUUUAUACAGGAAUAAAGUUAGCCACGUGUGGUUAUUUGUAGGUAAUGUAUGAAUAAGGACCGGCUAAUUCCGUGCCAGCCGCCGCCGUAA
rnacentral:rRNA from 1 species